UACGUAGGGUGCGAGCGUUAAUCGGAAUUACUGGGCGUAAAGCGCGCGUAGGCGGCGAUUCAAGUCAGAGGUGAAAGCCCGGGGCUCAACCCCGGAACUGCCUUUGAAACUAGAUUGCUAGAAUCUUGGAGAGGUCAGUGGAAUUCCGAGUGUAGAGGUGAAAUUCGUAGAUAUUCGGAAGAACACCAGUGGCGAAGGCGACUGACUGGACAAGUAUUGACGCUGAGGUGCGAAAGCGUGGGGAGCAAACAGG
rnacentral:rRNA from 1 species